CCCCUUCCCAGACCUCAUUUAAGGGUUGGCAGUGGAGAGAAGGGUAACCCUCUGGAGAUUUCUAUGUACCUGAGGCCUUCUGAAGUGCUCAUCCUCGGUGUCAGAAGCAGUUUUCAGAGAUGGGAAUGUUCUCAGAAACAAGAAUUAAAUUGCCUCUGAGUCACAGAGCUGGUCAUCAUCGGGUUGCAUACGUGCCUACACAGUGCUGGGACUGAAUUCGUAUAGGACACACAUUAAUUCACUGGCUCAAAGACUUGGUGUUAAGUGUCAAAUAAACCAUGUGUGUUAUUACAGAAUGAGGUUAAGCUUAA